GAUGAACGCUGGCGGCGUGCUUAACACAUGCAAGUCGAACGGAAAGGCCCUGCUUUUGUGCGGCGCUCGAUUGGCGAACGCGUGAGUAUCACGUGAGUAUCCUCCCCUUGACUUUCGGAGAACGCUAGGAAACUGGGGCUCAUACCGGAUAGGAGUUCCUGCUGCAUGGUGGGUGUUGGUAAGAUUCGGUGUUUCGGGAUGUUCUCGCGGCUUAUGAGCCUGUUGGUGGGGUAGUGGCUUACCAAGGCUUUGACGGAUAGCCGGCCUGAGAGGGGGACCGGGCACAUUACGACUAAGAUACGGCACAGACUAGUACGGGAGGCAGGGGUGGGAAAUAUUGCGGAAUGGGCCGAAGUCUGAUGAAGCAACGCCGCGUGCGGGAUGACAUGCUUCUGGUUAUAAACAAAUUUCGCAGGUACCGAAGAGUGAGUGACGGUAAUGAAUAAAGAAGCACCGGCUAACUACGUG
rnacentral:rRNA from 1 species